CCCUUAGAUGUUCUGGGCCGCACGCGUGCUACACUGAGUGGAUCAGCGGGUCAGGUUGCGCGAAAGUGUUUCCUAAUCUUGAAAUCCGCUCGUGAUGGGGAUUGACGGUUGCAAUUUUCCGUCAUGAACGAGGAAUACCUUGUAAGCGCGGGUCAUCAUCCCGCGCUGAAUACGUCCCCGCCCUUUGUACACACCGCCCGUCGCUCCUACCGAUUGAGUGGUCCGGUGAGGCUUUGGGAUCUGAGCAAAGAGAGCGUUUCGCUCGUUUUGCCCGGAAAACUCAGUCGAACCUUAUCAUUUAGAGGAAGGAGAAGUCGUAACA
rnacentral:rRNA from 1 species